rnacentral:rRNA from 1 species
GACGGACGGUGCAAGCGUUGCUCGGAAUCACUGGGCGUAAAGGGUGCGUAGGCGGCCGUGCAAGUCUGGCGUGAAAGCCCCGGGCUCAGCCCGGGAAGUGCGCUCGAAACUGCGCGGCUCGAGUGCCGGAGGGGAGAGUGGAAUUCCUGGUGUAGCGGUGAAAUGCGUAGAUAUCAGGAGGAAUACCGGUGGCGAAAGCGAGUCCCUGGACAUUUCCUGACACUGAGGCACGAAAGCUAGGGGAGCAAACAGG